UACGAAGGGGGCUAGCGUUGUUCGGAAUCACUGGGCGUAAAGCGCAUGUAGGCGGGUCUUUAAGUCAGGGGUGAAAUGCCAAGGCUCAACCUUGGAACUGCCUUUGAUACUGGAGACCUUGAGUCCGGGAGAGGUGAGUGGAACUGCGAGUGUAGAGGUGAAAUUCGUAGAUAUUCGCAAGAACACCAGUGGCGAAGGCGGCUCACUGGCCCGAUACUGACGCUGAGGCACGAAAGCGUGGGGAGCAAACAGG
rnacentral:rRNA from 1 species